rnacentral:rRNA from 1 species
CAUUAUUGAAUAAACUUGGUUGGGUUGUUGCUGGCUCCUCGGAGCAUGUGCNCGCUCACUCCAUUUUUAACCACCUGUGCACCUUGUGUAGAUCUGAACAACUCUCGGGGAAACUCGGUCAGAGGAUUGCUGUGUGUAAAAGCCAGCUUUUCUUGGGUUCAGAUCUAUGUCUCUAUAUACACCAUAAGAAUGUAUUGGAAUGUAAUUAAUAGGCGUUACAGCCUUUAAAAUCAAAUACAACUUUCAACAACGGAUCUCUUGGCUCUCGCAUCGAUGAAGAACGCAGCGAAAUGCGAUAAGUAAUGUGAAUUGCAGAAUUCAGUGAAUCAUCGAAUCUUUGAACGCACCUUGCGCUCCUUGGUAUUCCGAGGAGCAUGCCUGUUUGAGUGUCGUGAAAUUCUCAACCUCUCUGGUUUUUUAUAAACUAGUUAGGCUUGGAUUUUGGAGGUUGCUGGCUUCUCAGAAAUCAGCUCUUCUUAAAUAUAUUAGCAAAGUCUUUGCUGACCAUCUUNGGUAUGAUAAUUAUCUAUAUCAUUGAGAAUCAGCUUCCGUCUCGGAAGGAUUUUGCUUCUAAUGGUCUAUAUAGACAACUGACAAUUGACCU